UCGACUCUGGAGAGCGGUGGCGAAUGACCACCCACCGAAGGGGCUAAAGCUCUCAGGUGCAAGGACAGAGGGGCGGUG
rnacentral:ncRNA from 2 species